rnacentral:rRNA from 1 species
AGUCGUAACAAGGUUUCCGUAGGUGAACCUGCGGAAGGAUCAUUAAUGAGGGUGUUAUGGGCUGAAGACCCAAACGAAACCCCUAUCCUUUGCUUACUGCCCCCCCUCUUGUGUGGUUUUGCUUGGGCAUAUUAGCCCAGAAGACUGCCAAAACAAAACAUUCUUAUUAAACAAGUGUCUGAGUGAAAACAUAAAACAAGCAAAACUUUCAACAACGGAUCUCUUGGUUCCGGCAUCGAUGAAGAACGCAGCGAAAUGCGAUAAGUAAUGUGGACCGCAGUACUCAGCGACUCAUCGAAUCUUUGAACGCAUAUUGCGCCCCUUGGUAUCCCAAUGGGCACACCUGUCCGAGCGUCAUUUCGCGAGUCAGGAUUAGCAGAAUUCUUGCUAGCACAACUUGGUUAUGGGUUUAUCCACUUUACGUGGAGGGCCUUAAAGUUAUUGGCGGUUCAAUUAGGUGUUCCAGUGUAGUUAAUGCUAAAAAGUCACUGUGGAAAUGCUUAUUUGUACCUAGCCAAAAACCCCUUAAAUAUUCACAAAGAGUCUCUGCUGGCGGAGAUUUGGGUGGGAUGUUCCAUAAGAUUGACCUCGGAUCAGGUGAGGAUACCCGCUGAAUUUAAGCAUAUUAAUAAGCGGAGGAAAAGAAACCAACAGGGAUUGCCUCAGUAGCGGCGAGUGAAGCGGCAACAGCUCACAUUUGAAAUCCGAUCUUUACAAGAUCUGAGUUGUAAUCUGCAGAGGGUGUUUCGGGUAUGGCUUUGGUUUAAGUUCCUUGGAACAGGGCGUCAUAGAGGGUGAGAACCCCGUCUACAACCAAUUUGGCUUAGCCCAUGUGAAACCCCUUCAACGAGUCGAGUUGUUUGGGAAUGCAGCUCUAAAUGGGUGGUAAAUUUCAUCUAAAGCUAAAUAUUGGCCGGAGACCGAUAGCGCACAAGUAGAGUGAUCGAAAGAUGAAAAGCACUUUGGAAAGAGAGUUAAAUAGUACGUGAAAUUGUUGAAAGGGAAGCGCUUGCGGCCAGACCUGAGCGCUAGGUGAUCAGUUGGUAUUUUGGUACCAAUGUACUCACCUAUAGCCAGGCCAGCAUCGGUUUUGGCGGCGGGACAAAAGCGUGGAGAAUGUAACUCACUCUUUGAAGGAGUACUUAUAGCUCGUCAUGAAAUGCCGCCAGCUGGGACCGAGGACCGCGCCUUUUUUUUUUGGCUAGGAUGCUGGCGUAAUGGUUGCAAGCGACC